UACGUAGGGUGCAAGCGUUGUCCGGAAUUAUUGGGCGUAAAGAGCUCGUAGGCGGUUUGUCGCGUCUGCUGUGAAAACUCAGGGCUUAACUCUGAGCUUGCAGUGGGUACGGGCAGACUAGAGUGCGGUAGGGGAGACUGGAAUUUACGGUGUAGCAGUGAAAUGCGUAGAGAUCGUAAGGAAGACCAGUGGCGAAGGCGGGUCUCUGGACAGUUCCUGACACUGAGGCACGAAGGCCAGGGGAGCAAACGGG
rnacentral:rRNA from 1 species